AACAGAGGCGCGUCCCGCAUCAGUAGCGGCCAGCAAGGGUUGGGGCCCGUGGAGCUGGCGUGAAAGGGCCGGACGCCGAAAGGACUUUCCCGUCCCACGGGUGGUUCCUUGGGCGCAGGGCAAACAGCUCUGCGACUGUCAUCGGGCAAUGGCCCGGCGGAGCGCUG
rnacentral:ncRNA from 1 species